rnacentral:rRNA from 1 species
GGAGAGUUUGAUCCUGGCUCAGGAUGAACGCUGGCGGCGUGCUUAACACAUGCAAGUCGAACGGUGAAGCCCAGCUUGCUGGGUGGAUCAGUGGCGAACGGGUGAGUAACACGUGAGCAAUCUGCCCCUGACUCUGGGAUAAGCGCUGGAAACGGCGUCUAAUACUGGAUACGAACCGUGGAGGCAUCUUCAACGGUUGGAAAGAUUUUUUGGUCAGGGAUGAGCUCGCGGCCUAUCAGCUUGUUGGUGAGGUAAUGGCUCACCAAGGCGUCGACGGGUAGCCGGCCUGAGAGGGUGACCGGCCACACUGGGACUGAGACACGGCCCAGACUCCUACGGGAGGCAGCAGUGGGGAAUAUUGCACAAUGGGCGAAAGCCUGAUGCAGCAACGCCGCGUGAGGGAUGACGGCCUUCGGGUUGUAAACCUCUUUUAGCAGGGAAGAAGCGAAAGUGACGGUACCUGCAGAAAAAGCGCCGGCUAACUACGUGCCAGCAGCCGCGGUAAUACGUAGGGCGCAAGCGUUAUCCGGAAUUAUUGGGCGUAAAGAGCUCGUAGGCGGUUUGUCGCGUCUGCUGUGAAAUCCCGAGGCUCAACUUCGGGUCUGCAGUGGGUACGGGCAGACUAGAGUGCGGUAGGGGAGAUUGGAAUUCCUGGUGUAGCGGUGGAAUGCGCAGAUAUCAGGAGGAACACCGAUGGCGAAGGCAGAUCUCUGGGCCGUAACUGACGCUGAGGAGCGAAAGGGUGGGGAGCAAACAGGCUUAGAUACCCUGGUAGUCCACCCCGUAAACGUUGGGAACUAGUUGUGGGGUCCAUUCCACGGAUUCCGUGACGCAGCUAACGCAUUAAGUUCCCCGCCUGGGGAGUACGGCCGCAAGGCUAAAACUCAAAGGAAUUGACGGGGACCCGCACAAGCGGCGGAGCAUGCGGAUUAAUUCGAUGCAACGCGAAGAACCUUACCAAGGCUUGACAUAUACGAGAACGCUGCAGAAAUGUAGAACUCUUUGGACACUCGUAAACAGGUGGUGCAUGGUUGUCGUCAGCUCGUGUCGUGAGAUGUUGGGUUAAGUCCCGCAACGAGCGCAACCCUCGUUCUAUGUUGCCAGCACGUAAUGGUGGGAACUCAUGGGAUACUGCCGGGGUCAACUCGGAGGAAGGUGGGGAUGACGUCAAAUCAUCAUGCCCCUUAUGUCUUGGGCUUCACGCAUGCUACAAUGGCCGGUACAAAGGGCUGCAAUACCGUGAGGUGGAGCGAAUCCCAAAAAGCCGGUCCCAGUUCGGAUUGAGGUCUGCAACUCGACCUCAUGAAGUCGGAGUCGCUAGUAAUCGCAGAUCAGCAACGCUGCGGUGAAUACGUUCCCGGGUCUUGUACACACCGCCCGUCAAGUCAUGAAAGUCGGUAACACCUGAAGCCGGUGGCCCAACCCUUGUGGAGGGAGCCGUCGAAGGUGGGAUCGGUAAUUAGGACUAAGUCGUAACAAGGUAGCCGUACCGGAAGGUGCGGCUGGAUCACCUCCUUUCUAAGGA